GCCUGGGCCAGAUCGCCGCCAUCGCCAUACUCGCACUCACCGGAGUGGUGCGUGCGAAAAUUGGCCGCCGGGCAAUUACGCGGUGACUCCAGACGGGUGAGCGGAUCGUCGUUUGGGCGAUUAGACCUUCGUGCCACCGAAAUCGCGAGCUGCAAGAAGAAUCCGCGGUCAGUUCGUCGAGCUCUGCGGGCGCCAUCAUCUCGGGUUCCUCACCGGCGAGGUAAACCCGUUUUCCCCAUCGCUUUUAGCUCUGCCCAAUCGCAAUCGUAUUCUGCGCGUGCCCGGGCGAUCGUCGGGGCCUUGCUGCUCGUCGGCGGGCGGAGCGGUAGUGAGGAGCUCGGGAUCCGCCAUGGUGUGAUUGGCGUGUUUGACGGGGUUGCGCCUCAAGCCUGUGUGCUGCUUGCUUAUUCGGGAACGCCGCUCGCGUGUGUGGUCACCGCUGGACAGACAAGGGUAUGGGCGACUGGGAAUUCGCCGUCGAGCUUCAACCAACCCUUCGUUUCGCCCUACGCCGUGGCCAGUGACCUCUGCUACCUUCCAGCGCGGGUAAGACAGUGGCCCGACUCCCAUUUCUUUCCAGGUUGCGAUAGAACCUAUUAAUUUUCAGUUCAGAAGCUCUGGGGCGUCGGUAGUGGAUCACCGGAGGGGUGGGUGCUCCGCCGUGUGUCGAUGGUGGCCGCCGGCGUGACGUCAUGUGGUGAAGACGAGCGUCGGUCGUUGAUCCUUGAUUGGACAGCAGCGAUUAGAAACAGAGUGCCGGUCCGGCCGGAUGUGGCGUAGGCCGUUCGAUCCCGAUCGAUCGGACGUGAGUGGGAUUAGGUAUUUAAAUCUGGAACGUCCAAGUUAAAUCGAAAGGCUUAGAUUGCGUACCGGUUCGCAGGGUAGUAGAUUUAAUCCGGGCCGUUCACGCUUGAUCGGACGACUGAAGACUUGUGAUACCCUUUCAGAUCGCGACUUUACGAAUAGGACCCUAUGUUUUAGGGAAACAAACCCGCAGUCCACAACAGAGGAGUUAUGAGUCAUAGGCAUUCUUGCGCAAAAGACCUUGUACUUUCCUGCAUUUGUUGCGCAGUCCAGAGACUAAGGAAAACCAUAUAAAUAAUGUCUGAAAUUGGUAUUUAACACAAAAAUAAUUCCUAGAACUUGUUUAAAUCCUAGAAAAUUCAUACUAGGUCCAAAUUAAUCCAUUCCAGUUUAUAAAAUUUUAUAAUAUUAUUGUUUAUCAUCUAGUACCACUGUUUUCACAUUAAAGUCAUAUUAGAAUUUAUAUCUUAUUUAAUCUUAUACAAAAUACAUAGAAUCUUUAGAAAUUCAUAACUCCUCCGUUUUGACUCCGAAUUGACUCGUUUCAGUUGCGUUAGUCUCGUAUGAAUAUUUACUACGCAGUAACAAUAUUUAUUAUACCAUGUCUCAUACUUUUAUAAUUAGAUAUUUAUUUAUCCUAUGUUAAUUGGAUUAAUCUAUGUCUAUUGGCUUAACUUCUGAUCUUAUGGUUAUAAUUUGACUAGAUGAUCUUUAAUCAAAUAAUGACUUAAAUUAAAGUUGAGAUAAUUAUUUAUAGAAUAACAUCCCAUAUGCUUUACACUAACCGAUUUAUAAUAUAGUUUGACAUUUAAAUCACAUAGAUCUUUUAUAAACCAUAACUCCUUAACCAUGACUCCGAUCUUAGUAGUUCUCGAUCCACGAUCUCGUAGUAUCGCGUAGAUUAUUAUUACGUAGUUUAUUCUUAUGUUUGGUGUAAUUUUAAUUUUGUCUAUACACUGUUUGUUUGUAUUGCUGCGACUAGCGGUGAGGUCACGAGGAUCUGAAGAAUCACUCUGGUAACUGGAAUCUCAAGUGCCAGGCAAGUUAUGCCCUUGAUCACUUCUUUUACCCACUCAUGUUCUAAUUAAUCAUAAUGAUCUGCAUAGGUUAAUUUUGAUGGGACCCAAUAGGUCACCCUAGUUUGUUUAUCCUGAAUACCUUGUUUACCCCUGAAUCACUUGGGUAGUUCUGCUACUGCUUUAUAUGGUUUUGGGUUAAUAUUUCAUUAUAUCUAUGUUCCAGUUAUGUUGUUAUUUCAUUUAUGUUCAUGACAAGAUCAUUAAAUGUUAAUUGGAACAUAGAGCUUAACUUGAGAAACACGUGCCACCACAAGGGUUUAUGGACGCCCUUGGCUGACUAAUUAGGAAAGCUAGUGGAGGACUACCUUACCCGAAAGGGGCAAGGGCAGUAGGGGAGUGGUCAGUGUAAGGAGGCCCUCGGGAGGAUUUUGCUGUGAUGGCAGUCCUGCAAGGGAUUCCUGCAUUGGAGCUUCCCAUAAACUGUAGCGGGUUUUCUGAAGCUAGUGGAACUUUGUAAAGGCCUCGUAGUGUUACCCUGCCUCGCCUCCUCGGUAGAGGUGUAUGGGAAGUCGCGAUCUCAUGGCAGAUGGGUAACAUGACUUGUGGGUAAAGGGUACCACCUCUGCAGAGUGUAAAACUGGUAUACUAGCCGAGCUCACGGUCAUGAGCAGCUCAGGACUCUCUGAUGAUUAAUUUAUGGAACUUAAAUUCAAUUUUGUCAUAUGCAUUGCAUCGCAGGUGAUGAUGUUACUUCUGUUCUACUACUUAAUUGGGUUGGUAUUUACUUAUACUUAGUAAUUGCUAAUAAAAUUUUGACCAACUUUAAAAGCAAUGCUCAGCUUCAACCAUCUCCGUUGGUAAGCCUUACACUUCACGUGAGCUCCUACCUUUGGCGAGUUCAUGCACAUUAUUCCCCACAACUUGUUGAGCGAUGAACGUAUGUGAGCUCACUCUUGCUGUCUCACACCCCCCCCCCCACAGGUCAAGAACAGGUACCACAAGAUGAGGCACAUGGAGGAUGCUGUGAUGAGUUCGUGAGUGGUCUAGGUCGUCGUCUCCCAGUCAACUUUGGGUUGCUGGACCGUUGUCUCCUUAUAAUGUAAUUACUUAUUUAUUUUGUAUAGAACUCCUGUUAAAUAGUAAAGAUGUGACAUUCGAUCCUGUGCCAUGAUUCAUCAUAUGUGUGAGACUUGGUCCCAGCACACCUGGUGAUUAUGUUUACGCCCGGGUUUUGGACCCCUAAAAUCCGGGUGUUACAGAAGUGGUAUCAGAGGAAUGUUGACUGUAGGACGAAACCUAGAUAGAACUGGACAACCAUUCUUUACUUACCCUUGCUACUCUGAUUCUUUUCUAAACUUUUCUUAAUCUUUUCUCAUCUAUUUCCGCUUUACUCUGAUUAUUCUUACCUUUUCAUUCUAAAGACAAAUGUGGAUUUCACACUUUGAAAUCCUGUGCCUAAAGUGACCUUUAGGAAUAGGAAACCUAAUCCUAGGAACAAAAAAAAACAAAACUAUUUUUAUAAGUAUUUGUAUGAUUGGUUAUUUGUUCUUGUGAUACAUGUCUGAUUUGGAUCUUUGAUUGAGUGUGAUGAGUUGUGGAGUAAUGUCCACAAUUACAUCUGCAUAUACAUAUAGACAUAAAUAAAAUUCAUAAGAUAACCACACAACUUAGAUUACCCUCCAUUAAAGUGUAUCUAUUCCAUAAAGAUCCCUCUUAUCUAAAAAGACUCUCUCUUAUCUUAAUAGAUCCAUCUCAAAAUAUUCUUUCUUACCUUAAUGAUCCAUUUUAUCUUAAAAGAUUCUCUCUUAUCUUGAUAUAUCCAUCUUAUUCUACAAGAUUCUUUCUUAUCGUAAUAGAUUCAUCUUAUCUCAAAAGAUUUUAUCUUAUCCUAACAGAUCUAACUGACCUUAAAAGAUUCUAUCUUAUCCUUAUGGAUUCAUCUUGCCCCAAGAAGCAUAUUUAUCCCGCACUAGUGUAACAACCAUGAUCUAAUCCAAUGUAAUUAGAUAGUAUUUAGCCUAAUCUAAUUAUACCAAUCUAAUCUAGAUCCCAUCUAAUCUAAUAUGAUCCAAACUAAAGUGAGUCAUCUAACAUGUUAGUUAAUCUUGGUGAAAUAGAUUAGACUCUACUUCUAUAGUCAUGUUUUAACCUAAAGUUGGUGCCCUACACUAACUUGGUCAUAUACAACCAACCUGACCUACAUGUUGGGUUGCAUAACCUGCCUAACCCGACCUAGAAGCAAAACAACAAGACAGAUUCUGUUUAAACUUGUUUAACUCAUAACCACCGACUAACCUAUUUUUGUUUACCUACGAAACUGCCUUAAUCACAUAUCUCUAAUUCGGAUAACAACAUCAAGAACGAAGAUCGAAGAGAAUCAACGUCAUCAAGAAAGGAUAAGCAUCAACUCAAGACUUCAAAGAUUAAAUUGAAUCGCCAGCGGAAUCAAGAUCCAUAGUUUAGGAUGAAGUCUUUCCUUAUUAUGCCCUUGCCACAACCUCUACUUGCCAUAAUCGUACCUGACCUAAUGAAUAUCUAGACAUACAAUAUUCAUAUCACCUACAAACUGUAAAAAAAAACUUGAACAAAACUUUGAUUCCCAAAACCAAAAGAAAAACUAAAAUUCUAAACCAAACUGGUUGCAUCCCUUUUUUUUACAAAUCUCGAGGAUGAGAUUAUUUUUAAGGGGGGUAGGAUUUGUAACACCCACUUUGUAAUUUGCUAGAAAUAAUACCAAUAGAGAAACAAUUUCUCUUUAUGUGAGUUUGAUCUUUAUGCAUCAUCAUAUGUGAACACCAUGCCCAAAAACAAUUAAUAAAAAGAUAUGCUACUAAAUCAUUGCAUCAUGCUGAAUAUUUUAUGUUGUGUGCAUUUUGUGGUAACAUAGAAUAAUGUGAAAAAGAAAUAUAUUAAUACCCAAAUGGGAAUUUAAGAUCUAAAAGGAUUUCUAGAAUUUAGAAAAGAGAAGAAAAUGAACAUUUUGAGGAGAAAAAUAAGUAAAUAAAGAUAUAUUAUGCCUACAGUAAAGUUGGAAUUUGUAUAAUUGACUCGAGUGAAACUCAUGAGAGGAUUCAAAUUCAAAUUUGGAAUUCAAAAUAAAAUAGAAGUGCAAAAUAGAAAAGGAAAAUCAUAAGUAAACUGCGCUUGGGCCCUUUUCUCCCCUGACCGGCCCAGCUCCAUUCCAUCUCGCGACGCCAGCCCAGCCCACCAUCACGUGCCUGCGGAUGACAUAUGGGACCCCCUUGUCAUCACGCUUCCGCUGCGCCGUUCUUUCCGCUGCGUUCGCGAUCUGGCGAAACAGAACCCGGCCGCCGCGCGCAUGCCUACCGAUCUCGCCGUGGAUUUCGCAUCUCCGCACCCUUCUCGGCGCGGGCAUCACCCUGGUCCUAUAAAACAAUUGCUGGCCCUCCCUUCCUUUUCCCCAUCACUAGGAACCCGACCACGGCGGGUGCUCAGGCAGCACAGCAGGGAGGAGAGCGCCUGGGCCAGAUCGCCGCCAUCGCCAUACUCGCACUCACCGGAGUGGUGCGUGCGAAAAUUGGCCGCCGGGCAAUUACGCGUUGACUCCAGACGGGUGAGCGGAUCGUCGUUUGGGCGAUUAGACCUUCGUGCCACCGAAAUCGCGAGCUGCAAGAAGAAUCCGCGGUCAGUUCGUCGAGCUCUGCGGGCGCCAUCAUCUCGGGUUCCUCACCGGCGAGGUAAACCCGUUUUCCCCAUCGCUUUUAGCUCUGCCCAAUCGCAAUCGUAUUCUGCGCGUGCCCGGGCGAUCGUCGGGGCCUUGCUGCUCGUCGGCGGGCGGAGCGGUAGUGAGGAGCUCGGGAUCCGCCGUGGUGUGAUUGGCGUGUUUGACGGGGUUGCGCCUCAAGCCUGUGUGCUGCUUGCUUAUUCGGGAACGCCGCUCGCGUGUGUGGUCACCGCUGGACAGACAAGGGUAUGGGCGACUGGGAAUUCGCCGUCGAGCUUCAACCAACCCUUCGUUUUGCCCUACGCCGUGGCCAGUGACCUCUGCUACCUUCCAGCGCGGGUAAGACAGUGGCCCGACUCCCAUUUCUUUCCAGGUUGCGAUAGAACCUAUUAAUUUUCAGUUCAGAAGCUCUGGGGCGUCGGUAGUGGAUCACCGGAGGGGUGGGUGCUCCGCCGUGUGUCGAUGGUGGCCGCCGGCGUGACGUCAUGUGGUGAAGACGAGCGUCGGUCGUUGAUCCUUGAUUGGACAGCGGCGAUUAGAAACAGAGUGCCGGUCCGGCCGGAUGUGGCGUAGGCCGUUCGAUCCCGAUCGAUCGGACGUGAGUGGGAUUAGGUAUUUAAAUCUGGAACGUCCAAGUUAAAUCGAAAGGCUUAGAUUGCGUACCGGUUCGCAGGGUAGUAGAUUUAAUCUGGGCCGUUCACGCUUGAUCGGACGACUGAAGACUUGUGAUACCCUUUCAGAUCGCGACUUUACGAAUAGGACCCUAUGUUUUAGGGAAACAAACCCGCAGUCCACAACAGAGGAGUUAUGAGUCAUAGGCAUUCUUGCGCAAAAGACCUUGUACUUUCCUGCAUUUGUUGCGCAGUCCAGAGACUAAGGAAAACCAUAUAAAUAAUGUCUGAAAUUGGUAUUUAACACAAAAAUAAUUCCUAGAACUUGUUUAAAUCCUAGAAAAUUCAUACUAGGUCCAAAUUAAUCCAUUCUAGUUUAUAAAAUUUUAUAAUAUUAUUGUUUAUCAUCUAGUACCACUGUUUUCACAUUAAAGUCAUAUUAGAAUUUAUAUCUUAUUAAAUCUUAUACAAAAUACAUAGAAUCUUUAGAAAUUCAUAACUCCUCCGUUUUGACUCCGAAUUGACUCGUUUCAGUUGCGUUAGUCUCGUAUGAAUAUUUACUACGCAGUAACAAUAUUUAUUAUACCAUGUCUCAUACUUUUAUAAUUAGAUAUUUAUUUAUCCUAUGUUAAUUGGAUUAAUCUAUGUCUAUUGGCUUAACUUCUGAUCUUAUGGUUAUAAUUUGACUAGAUGAUCUUUAAUCAAAUAAUGACUUAAAUUAAAGUUGAGAUAAUUAUUUAUAGAAUAACAUCCCAUAUGCUUUACAUUAACCGAUUUAUAAUAUAGUUUGACAUUUAAAUCACAUAGAUCUUUUAUAAACCAUAACUCCUUAACCAUGACUCCGAUCUUAGUAGUUCUCGAUCCACGAUCUCGUAGUAUCGCGUAGAUUAUUAUUACGUAGUUUAUUCUUAUGUUUGGUGUAAUGUUAAUUUUGUCUAUACACUGUUUGUUUGUAUUGCUGCGACUAGCGGUGAGGUCACGAGGAUCUGAAGAAUCACUCUGGUAACUGGAAUCUCAAGUGCCAGGCAAGUUGUGCCCUUG
rnacentral:lncRNA from 1 species